CAGCAGCCGCGGGAAUACGGAGGGUGCAAGCGUUAUCCGGAUUUAUUGGGUUUAAAGGGUCCGUAGGCGGAUCUGUAAGUCAGUGGUGAAAUCUCACAGCUUAACUGUGAAACUGCCAUUGAUACUGCAGGUCUUGAGUAAAUUUGAAGUGGCUGGAAUAAGUAGUGUAGCGGUGAAAUGCAUAGAUAUUACUUAGAACACCAAUUGCGAAGGCAGGUCACUAAGAUUUAACUGACGCUGAUGGACGAAAGCGUGGGGAGCGAACAGGAUUAGAUACCCGUGUAGUCCCUGUCUCUUAUAA
rnacentral:rRNA from 1 species